GGCCACUGCUAUCGGAGUUCGAUUAAGCCAUGCGAGUCGAGAGGUGCAAGACCUCGGCAUACUGCUCAGUAACACGUGGACAACCUACCCUAUGGAGGGGGAUAACCCCGGGAAACUGGGGAUAAUACCCCAUAGACUAUGGAUGCUGGAAUGCUCUGUAGUUGAAAGGUCCGCCGCCAUAGGAUGGGUCUGCGGCCGAUUAGGUUGUUGUUGGGGUAACGGCCCAACAAGCCUGUAAUCGGUACGGGUUGUGGGAGCAAGAGCCCGGAGAUGGAUUCUGAGACACGAAUCCAGGCCCUACGGGGCGCAGCAGGCGCGAAAACUUUACAAUGCGGGAAACCGUGAUAAGGGAACUCCGAGUGCCCGUUAAAUCGGGCUGUCCAUCUGUUUAAAUAACAGGUGAAGAAAGGGCCGGGCAAGACCGGUGCCAGCCGCCGCGGUAAUACCGGCGGCUCGAGUGGUGGCCACUAUUACUGGGCUUAAAGCGUUCGUAGCUGGUUUGUUAAGUCUCUGGGGAAAUCUUCCGGCUUAACCGGAAGGCGUCUCAGGGAUACUGGCAGACUAGGGACCGGGAGAGGUGAGAGGUACUCCAGGGGUAGGAGUGAAAUCCUGUAAUCCUUGGGGGACCACCUGUGGCGAAGGCGUCUCACCAGAACGGCUCCGACAGUGAGGGACGAAAGCUGGGGGAGCAAACCGGAUUAGAUACCCGGGUAGUCCCAGCUGUAAACGAUGCGCGUUAGGUGUAUCGGUGACCACGAGUCACCGAGGUGCCGAAGAGAAAUCGUGAAACGUGCCGCCUGGGAAGUACGGUCGCAAGGCUGAAACUUAAAGGAAUUGGCGGGGGAGCACCACAACAGGUGGAGCCUGCGGUUUAAUCGGACUCAACGCCGGGAAACUCACCAGAUAAGACAGCUGAAUGAUAGUCGGGCUGAAGACUCUACUUGACUAGCUGAGAGGAGGUGCAUGGCCGUCGUCAGUUCGUACUGUGAAGCAUCCUGUUAAGUCAGGCAACGAGCGAGACCCA
rnacentral:rRNA from 1 species